CCGACAACGAAACGAACACCGUGUACCGAGAAAACUCUAUAUACAAACAAAAAGUUACCUCAGCACAGUCAACUCGACUCACUCAUAACGCGAAUAUCGUCGUCGGCAUCAAAAACUUAAAUAAUAAAAACAUUAUUAAGCGUUUUUGGACGUACAAAGAAGAGAUCAAAUUAAAAGAUAAAAAAAAAGGAUUUUCGGGGUAGUGAGUGAGAGAAUGCGCAAAAACAACUCGAAACCGCAAAGAAGAGUCAUCGUCAUCGCGUUGAGAGGAUCUUGAAACGAAAUAAAGAAAAAAAAAUAACUAAAUAACCAUCCAGACUUGUUUCUUUGUUAUGUCCAAAAAAGACG